ncrna:unclassified sequences Glutamine-II riboswitch (downstream peptide RNA)
AAUCGUCCGAUCUACCAUCUGAUAGACCGCAGUACGUCUCAAGCCAUAGGACGGGGACUUGAG